rnacentral:snRNA from 1 species
UCACUUACCCAGCAGAAGCGAUACCAUGGUCACCAUGAUCACAGCGUGGUUUUUCAGAGCAAGAUGCAUCCAUUCACUCUGGGUGUGCAGUUUUCCCAAACGUGGGACACUCAACUGCAUAAUUUGUGGAAC